rnacentral:misc_RNA from 1 species
CGCACAUUGCGCCCCCUGGUAUUCCGGUGGGCAUGCCUGUCCGAGCGUCAUUUAAACCCACAAGCCUCGCUUGAUGAUGGGGCACGCCAACCCGGGCGUCCCCGAAACGCAUCGGCAGCGGCGGAGGCCGGCCACGACGUAGUAAGAAUCAUCCCGUCGAGGCCCGCACGCCGCCAGCCUGACACCCAAUCUUCAAAGGUUGACCUCGGCUCAGGUAGGAUUACCCGCUGAACUUAA